GCCUUCGUGGUGUAGCGGUCAGCGCCCUCGGUGCGUAACCGAGAGGUUCGUGGUUCGAUUCCCGGAGAGGGCA
rnacentral:tRNA from 1 species